UCUAUUUUACAAUAAGUAAUGAUAAAUUAGUUGUUAAUCACUAAGCUUCAAAGUACAAUGGUAAGGGGUAAGAUAGCGGGAUGUGGGGUUGAUGAUUUUUUUUUUCUUUUUUUUGCUGAGUGUAUAUUUAAGAAUAGUUUGGAGAGAGAGCCGGAUUUUUUUUUAAAUUGUAAAAAUUUGAUUUAGAAGUUGUGUCAACUUAGAAUAUGAAUACUAGACAAAGAGAAGUGCAGAGAAAACUCAUAAAUAAAUUGAAGCCCAUAUCGUUGCCAGCACGCGGGAGUCCUUAAACGGGGGACACUGGGAUCACAACAGAGAAGAAAACAAACGAAGGCCGGCGCUCAAUCAAGACGGCAUGUGUGCACUUGUUAAGAGGGUCCAAAGAGAUGACGUUGGGCACAACAGAUGUAUGGGAACAUUGGGUAGAACUAUGAUUGGGUCUGGCAUUGACAUUGUGUAAGCUUUCUUUGUUAUUAUAAUUUAAUAUGCUAUUACCAUAAGCAAGGGAGUGCUCCAUAUGCAUUUGGACAGAAAAUAAGUAAAAACUGUUCAGAACAAUGCUUUACAAAUCCAUAAUCUGUAGUGUAGCAGGGAAACAUUAUCAAUAUCGUAAAAUACACAACAAAUAAGAGCUAAUGCAAUUAUUGUUAUAUGUAUUUCAUAUCAUCAAUGUGCUUUUAGCAAAAGAGCGUAUUUAUCUCCUUCCCCAAAAACAUCCCAUGUUCUAAGAAGACCCUGGUCGGCCAAGCAGUAUAUUACAAGAAAUACCUGGUAGUCUAUCGGCGAUCUGGUUACAAUUACUAUUUGCUAAGUAAAUUGGCAUUGUGAUUUAUCUUAGUCAUGUGCCAUUCUAUUGCAUGUGACCUGUUCCUGUAUCAUGUUCAUGUCUGUACAUUGCUUCUUUUAUUUACUUUUUUUUUUUGCCACACAUAUUUCAAUAUAAAUCAUGAUCAGUCAUACUGUUUUAAGUUUUUCUAUACAUUGAAAAAUCUGGUUUGAUAGAUAGGUAGCACUAUAUGUGGAAUUAAGUGUCAAGGAGGUGCUUCUGUGUCAUCUGUAUAGUAUCUUCACCACUUCUGUUUCCCACUAUUGCUUGGUGUUUUGGAACUGCUUGCGUUUCCUUAAAAAAUAUUAUCAAUAGUUUAAACGUUGAAUUUCUAACUCAAGGCGCUGGAACUGAUAAGUCAACCAUAUCGCAAAACUGAGAGAAAUGAAGGUUCUGGACUUUGCUAUUUAUUCCAUCCCAUUGUCUUAUCCUAGAGUACUACAUCUCAUAUGUGUGCAAUCAUAAGAUUUUAUUCUAGCUUGCACAGGAGAUUAUACUUUGAGCAAGUAGAAGAGCACGACUUUUAUGUGAAUGGUAGAAGACUUUUGAAGAGUCAGAAGCAGAAGGAGCUCUCCUUCCUGGUAGGUUUGUUGAAACUGUAAAAUGAAUAUAGUUAGGGUAUACAUCAAGCUAUACCUAAGUAAUUGGACCUUCAAGGAUGGAUGUAGCUUAUUUAUACAUGUACCAUUAUCUCUUUGAAUGUUUGCAAGUCACUGAUAGAUCCAUCAUUUAGUUAUUCCUAGCCUGGUCCAAAUGUUUUUCAAAUGAACGAUUCUUCAUUGCAUGUAGAUUCUUAUAUGAGCUUCAAAUGAAAAUGUUAUGCAUUAAAUUUUACUUUUGGAUGGGAGAACAGGUACAACUUUAUUCGAACUUAGUGUGCAUAAUACUACCAGCCUUUGUAGCCAUGCGGUACCGCGAUGAAAGAGUCACCAUCUUUUCUUCCUUUCUAAAGAUUUCUCUUCAAUCCCUCCUCUCUCUUUUUGCCUCUUUGGUUUUCCAGCAAUAAUAUCCUUCUUCGGUGGAGUUUUCUAGCCAAGAGUUUGUAGAGUAUUCAAUUGCAGACAUUUCUGGGACAUUUCUAACAGAAGGACAAAUAUUCAAUUUUUAAAGAACAUAUUGUGAACCUCUUUCAGAUAUGACUCUGUCUGAGAAGGGAUGAACUUGCAUCAGGGUUUCAGAACUAUACCUAAUCAUCCCGCAUUGGUUUUAUUCCCAAUUCAUAACUCGAAAUUUCUUCUGGUCCUUUGGAAAUUGGGGUAUAAGUUAUAACUGUGAAAAUUAGAAAUGGCAAAAUAGGAAUAACAAAUUAGUUUACCAUUUUCAUAAAGUGUAUGUAUAUAUAAUAUGUUAUAAAUAUAUUGCAACUCUUAAUUUCUAGUUUAUCCCUUUCUUCCAAUGGAUACUUGGGUUAGCAAGGUCGCUGGAUAGCCAUUAUUGAGUAGCGCCUUUUUACGAGAGAUAUGAACAAUAGGCUUUUGUUGAUUGAAAGUAGAGAUAAAAAUCAUUAUGAUUUGGUUAAUCUUGAAAAUAAUUUAUCACUUGCACGUCAUAGAUGAUUGCCAAACCUAAUUUGUUUCAACCGAGUGUCCUAGGCGGUGCACCAUCAGAAUUUUGAACUCACACAUAUUAAUUGGGAUGAUGUGCUCCUCUUGCCCAGUAAGUGUUUGGCAGUCUUGUGCAAGUUGUGGAAGUGUGCAAGUAUUUGGUAUGCACAAGUGUGCUAGUGAUAUACAGUAAAGUGGUGUAAGAGUAGUGUUUUUUUUUUUUUUUUUCCUUUUUGGGGAAUGAAAGAUACUUCAUCAGAAAAACAAGCAACAGAGAGGCAUUACAACGGGUACAACAGAAAAAAGAGAAGAGUACAACUAAACAUAGGAUAGGAGAUGAUGGUAUGGAUAAGAUGAGAUGAAGUUUUAACAGCUAAACUGUCCUCCCAACACCGCACAUGGGAUCAAUUUCUUGGAGGACAAGGAGAGUCUCUUGAUAAGAUGUGCACCAAGAUGGACCGGCUCACCCAAACAUCGUUGCUCAUCCUCCUUUUGGCAAGAGAUUCCUGAGUGUCUGCAACAGCAUUUGCUGAGUGGCAAACCCAGCGCCAAUUGACUCUCCUGUAAUUCAUGAAGGCAAAUCUAGGUAGGAUAUAUCAUCCAACUGCCUUUGAAAAUUUUGCCCUUUAUGCUGCGUAUGAGAUCGCUGGAAUCAGAUUUGUGUUUUGAACCUAUUGUGGGCACAAAGGGGACAAAGUGAAGUAUUAUUCAUCCAAGGUUUGAUUUGGCACAAGAUCAGCUCCCCUACUUGUUGAAUUUAAGGAUGUGGCUAGGGGUCUAAGCUGCAAAUGGAAUUGAUGGCUACCAGGUAGGCUGUUGCCUUUAUUUCGACCAUUGAUUGUGUAGCUUCUCACAUUUGAUCCAACACUCUCCCAGCUGUAUGGUGGGGACAGAGGCUGAGAUUUGGUUUCCACCUCGGGGAUCCAUGGUGGUUGAUUCUCUUCAAUAUGGUUAUUGAUUGUCCUGAAGUGCGUCCAGCGAAAUCGGAUCAGCAGGACAGCAUUAAAUCAGAUCUUUCUGUAGUGGAUAUUGAUCAGUUUAUUAGAUUGCAGAUAGAGGGCUUAGCAGCUGAAUCACUCUCUCCUCUCGCAGCGGGCCCCUUUUCUUUCCCCCGCUGGCAUGAAGAAAGGGUCCAUUUCACUAGCUCUUCUUCUUGUGAGAAUAAAUAGAGAGGUGAGCUUAACCGACCCUUAAUUAUAUUUGUUUGCAGGGCAUCUCACACAGAGACUGGUAAAGGAAACCGGGAGGUGGAGCUGGGAGCUAUUGGAUGCUUGGUGUGCAUGAGAGUUGUAAAUAGGUGUGUACUCUGUACAUGCAGCUUAUGUGUAACAGUAUAAGCCUUGCGUAGGAUCUUCAUUCAGCCUUGCGUUUCCUUUGGAGGCUGCAUUACUGCAGAAUGGGCUUAGUUAAGCACACCAUCAAAGGUUUGUUCCAAGAAGUACUUGAUUUCUACAUGACUCUGUGAAAGUUGAUUUGCUAUCCAGAUAAGCAUGUUAUGAUAAAUCUUGUAUGUUUCUUAGUAUGUUAUGCAUGCGACGUAUGUAUUUUGCUCUCAGAAAAACUAUACAUGUCUGUUGUAAGAAUGACAAAAGGAUGCAAUUGUUUGAAAUAAUAAUGUAAUUCUAUUCACUUUUUGACUUGAGAA